rnacentral:rRNA from 3 species
CUGCGGCAGCGACGCUUAUGCGUUGUUGGGUAGGGGAGCGUUCUGUAAGCCUGUGAAGGUGUGUCGUGAGGCAUGCUGGAGGUAUCAGAAGUGCGAAUGCUGACAUAAGUAACGAUAAAGCGGGUGAAAAGCCCGCUCGCCGGAAGACCAAGGGUUCCUGUCCAACGUUAAUCGGGGCAGGGUGAGUCGACCCCUAAGGCGAGGCCGAAAGGCGUAGUCGAUGGGAAACGGGUUAAUAUUCCCGUACUUGGUGUUACUGCGAAGGGGGGACGGAGAAGGCUAUGUUGGCCGGGCGACGGUUGUCCCGGUUUAAGCGUGUAGGUGUGUGUUCCAGGUAAAUCCGGUUCACUUUAACACUGAGGCGUGAUGACGAGGCACUACGGUGCUGAAGUAACAAAUGCCCUGCUUCCAGGAAAAGCCUCUAAGCAUCAGGUAACAUCAAAUCGUACCCCAAACCGACACAGGUGGUCAGGUAGAGAAUACCAAGGCGCUUGAGAGAACUCGGGUGAAGGAACUAGGCAAAAUGGUGCCGUAACUUCGGGAGAAGGCACGCUGACACGUAGGUGAAGUGAUUUACUCACGGAGCUGAAGUCAGUCGAAGAUACCAGCUGGCUGCAACUGUUUAUUAAAAACACAGCACUGUGCAAACACGAAAGUGGACGUAUACGGUGUGACGCCUGCCCGGUGCCGGAAGGUUAAUUGAUGGGGUCAGCGCAAGCGAAGCUCCUGAUCGAAGCCCCGGUAAACGGCGGCCGUAACUAUAACGGUCCUAAGGUAGCGAAAUUCCUUGUCGGGUAAGUUCCGACCUGCACGAAUGGCGUAAUGAUGGCCAGGCUGUCUCCACCCGAGACUCAGUGAAAUUGAACUCGCUGUGAAGAUGCAGUGUACCCGCGGCAAGACGGAAAGACCCCGUGAACCUUUACUAUAGCUUGACACUGAACAUUGAGCCUUGAUGUGUAGGAUAGGUGGGAGGCUUUGAAGUGUGGACGCCAGUCUGCAUGGAGCCGACCUUGAAAUACCACCCUUUAAUGUUUGAUGUUCUAACGUGGACCCGUUACCCGGGUUGCGGACAGUGUCUGGUGGGUAGUUUGACUGGGGCGGUCUCCUCCUAAAGAGUAACGGAGGAGCACGAAGGUUGGCUAAUCCUGGUCGGACAUCAGGAGGUUAGUGCAAUGGCAUAAGCCAGCUUGACUGCGAGCGUGACGGCGCGAGCAGGUGCGAAAGCAGGUCAUAGUGAUCCGGUGGUUCUGAAUGGAAGGGCCAUCGCUCAACGGAUAAAAGGUACUCCGGGGAUAACAGGCUGAUACCGCCCAAGAGUUCAUAUCGACGGCGGUGUUUGGCACCUCGAUGUCGGCUCAUCACAUCCUGGGGCUGAAGUAGGUCCCAAGGGUAUGGCUGUUCGCCAUUUAAAGUGGUACGCGAGCUGGGUUUAGAACGUCGUGAGACAGUUCGGUCCCUAUCUGCCGUGGGCGCUGGAGAACUGAGGGGGGCUGCUCCUAGUACGAGAGGACCGGAGUGGACGCAUCACUGGUGUUCGGGUUGUCAUGCCAAUGGCACUGCCCGGUAGCUAAAUGCGGAAGAGAUAAGUGCUGAAAGCAUCUAAGCACGAAACUUGCCCCGAGAUGAGUUCUCCCUGAGACUUUAGGUCUCCUGAAGGAACGUUGAAGACGACGACGUUGAUAGGCCGGGUGUGUAAGCGCAGCGAUGCGUUGAGCUAACCGGUACUAAUGAACCGUGAGGCUUAACCUUACAACGCCG